rnacentral:misc_RNA from 1 species
AAUGCGAUAAGUAAUGUGAAUUGCAGAAUUCAGUGAAUCAUCGAAUCUUUGAACGCACAUUGCGCCCGCCAGUAUUCUGGCGGGCAUGCCCGUCCGAGCGUCAUUUCAACCAUCAAGCGCCCGGGCUUGUGUUGGGGACCUGCGGCUGCCCGCAGGCCCUGAAAACCAGUGGCGGGCUCGCUGUCACACCGAGCGUAGUAGCAAUCACCUCGCUCAGGGCGUGCUGCGGGUUCCGGCCGUUAAACAGCCUUACAAAACCCAAGGUUGACCUCGGAUCAGGUAGGAAGACCCGCUGAACUUAAGC